rnacentral:tRNA from 1 species
GAAGCUGUGCCUGAAUAAAGGGCUACUUUGAUAGAGUAAAUUAUGGGGGUUAAACUCCCCCCAGCUUCU